GCUCGGAUUCACGAGGAGGCUUGAAAAGAUAUGCCCAGCCGUACACGAGGUUGGGCAUUUGCUCUGGUGCUAGAAGCCCAGAUAGCAGCUGGAGAUCGACGAACUCCGAUCCCUCCUAGUGCGGCGGCACACAGCAGAUCUAAGGUAUGAAUUUCUCCCCGUAGUGUUUACAUCGAACUAGUUGAGGAAUCCAGUCCGAGCCGCAGGAGCUAUCCUGCAGUGACUGCCAUCGCCGUUUUUCUCGCCCGACGGGGUCAUGCUCCCGUUCGCUUUCUUAAUCUGAGCAAUGAGUUAGCAAUUUCGUUGUGAAUCAAUCGAUAAUAUCUAAGCAUGCACACCAGCUCAUGUGACGUAGAUAAAGAACUUGAUUUCCUAGAUUAUCCUUUGCCCAUUGCAGCGCGCAAGGAGCUGUCAAAAUAAGGCGGCAGGGGAUCUGUGCUGACGAGUGUUUUCUCUUCUGAUUACAGGAAUCUUUUUUUUACGCUGGCAUUUUUUGGCAGCAGGAUGGAUGGUAAUUACCUGCUGCCCACUGCUCUGAAUGGCUGGAACACUAGCGACGUCGACGGAAGCAGGGACGAUGGCUCCUGCAAACACGCUUUCAGUCGGAACAGCGCUAACGUGGUUGCUUGCCCUGCUUGCACGACGAUCUCCAGACGGAUCCAGCCCCUUGUUACAAUGAAACCCGAACUGCGUUGCUGGUUGUAGAGAAGGGGGAGGCGAAGGCUAAGGGGAGAAAUGUUAUGACUGAAAAUCCUUAGAAGCAAAAACAAUAAAGCCGGGCAGCCACCUCUUGGACGCUGGCCUUGAUGCCUUUGAUGCUUUCUGAACUGUGGAUGUUUGGUUGUAGCUUGAGGUUUCAUGCAUCUGGUUGACUCGACUUGGGGCCUGACAAUGUACCUCCUUCCAACCACAGGACCAAUGGAGAUGCUGCCUGCCUCCUCACAUUAAUGGAGGCUGCUACUAGACUGUUAUCUUUGCUACGGCCAUCCGAUCAGUGCCGCGAUGCGGGCGAACACACGUGGCGUUGACAUCGGGAGGUCUCUCUGGAACAUAGGAGACGGAGACGCCAGCCGGGGAGGCGGCGAGCGAAUCCUUUCGCCGGCGGCUGCAGUGGAGGUUGCCCGGAGCUGGCGACGGCGCCAUCCCGUCCCAGAGCUCGAGUGGAGACACUCAUGGCGGCUUGAUCUGUAAGUGCUCCAUCUGUAGCUAGCUAGCUAGGGUUCCUGCAACGAAAGGAUUUCGUCCACCAUUAGGUUGUGAGUGUUCAGGACCAAGAUGGAGUCUGCAUUUUUUUAAUCUGACAUCCACUUGAUGUGCCACUUCCUAGUUCAGACAUACGAAGACAAAAGCUUCCCGAUCUCUCUGUGCAUACACUCACUUUUAUACAGGAUUAAGUUCAGGUAGAUGAUUGAUCUCGUGUCGGCUGUGCGGUACUAGCUUUUUGUAGUUCCAUUCAUCCGGAAAACGAAAUACGUAGGAAAGAACAGCAGAAAUAAACUCGGCAAAAUAUAGGAACAUAGUAUCACAUUGUCAACAACACAGAGACAUAUGAUUCUGUAAGUGAAUCAAGGACCACGGUAAAAGUUAUGUGAAAUUCAGAGACAUUGCAGUCGAUUGACCUGGAGAAAAUAUAUAUUGUGCCCAACAAUACAUUUUUUUAGGGAUAACAAUACAUUACAUGGUGAACUUUGUUACAGCAGAAAGCCACCAAAUUGACAUGAGAACAGAAUCAUGUAUUAUUAGAAGCCAAAGUACAGAGAGGAGGAACUUGCUGGAAGCAUUUCAUUAUCUUCAGGAGACAGAGUCCAUAGCUCUAGCAGCCUCUCUGCUACACCCUGCAGCAACACCUGAGUAUCCAAUCCAGUCCACCAUUAGAAACUGAUAAGACAAUGUACAUUACAGGUUCCUAAUAGUGCAAAAUAAAGCCACUAGUCCAACAACCAUCAAAUUUCUAACAUCUCCAGUAAUCUUCAGAAAUUGAACCAAACAAACCAUUAGAAGAAACAUGAAAAAUAACUGAAGGUUCAUUGUGCACUUAGUCACAUUCUACAAAGUUUGUAAACAGGGUGCAAAAGGAACAAGUGGUCCACAGUUUCUGUAGCACUACAAAACAUAGAUAUAUUUGAAGAAGCUAAACGAAGCUAAACUUUACAGCUCAUGCAUCACUGAAAGAAAUACGAUUGAUCUCAAUAUUCAGUGUGCCCUUAACCAUACGCCACAAAUAUUCAGCUUCCAUAUCACUUGUUCCCAUGAAUAGAUUUUUUUAGCUCAAGACUAUUACUGCUUCUUCCUAACUGAAAAUCCAUAGAAGCAAAAACAAGAAAGCUGAAAACGUGGCGCAAUUCAUUGCAUCCGGAUGGACGGUGGGGUUCAGAGGGAGGCGCAGUUGGACGGCGCCGUGCAUCAUAGGCAAUUACUCACGUACGUUUUUUGGGGGGCUGCAUUCAACGGGACUUUCCCAGCUGCAACAUAAAAGAGCCAUCCAAACGCAUCCAGUCAUCGCGCCAGACGGUGCCGAACCUUGCAUACUGCGUUAACCAAUACCAAAAAUGGCAGGUUUCAACACCAGCACGAGGGCAACGCAGCAUGGAACUCUUGCUAAAAAUGACUGGAAGUAGACCCUGUAGCUGAUUACCGAAAAUGGUUCCUGUCGCCCUCUGCCGUAGAAGAAAGGAGCCGCUGCUAUCGCCCUCAAAUGCACUGACAUGUCAGCCGCUAGGCUUCCAUACAGGGUGUACGCUAGCAUAAAGUACCGCUCAGACCUUUCCUCUUCGGUCAUGGCGAAAAUCAAAAAUUCAGAAAUUCGGAACCUUAUCCACAAAAAGCGCGGAUCUCAAAGAGCAUCAACGGUUCCGAUAGCACACACUCUAGUUGCUGUUGAAAGCAAAUCCAUGCUCUAUAUACAUAUAUACAUAUAUACAUCUGGGCUAUUCUGUUACUCUACUUGAACUGACGGUUUCAGGCGGUUGUACUGAUGAUUUUCAUCUCGUCGAACUAAUCAUCAUCUCGUUCGAAUGGGGCGUCUAAUAUACUAUUGGAAAGCUCUUGACAGCUACAUUACAAGUCAUAUAAGAAUUUUUGCAAAAUCAUCACGGUUUAAGAGCAGUUUAAAAAAAAUCAUUUUUUCAAAACAAAAAACGUGAAUCAUAUUUUGGACUUAAUUUUCAAACGGUUAGUCGGAAUUGAGCAAAUAAGAUGGCAUUGGAAAGCUGGUGAAAAUCCGCUUCUUCCAUAUAUCUAAUGUUUUUUCAAAUCAUAUACAAUUUAAAAGUAAUUUGAAAAACGGUGAAAUUUUGGGCGAAAUGUAUUUUUUGCGUUUUUUUGUAAACGAUUUGUCGGAUUGGUGCAAAUGAUACGACGUUGGAAAGCUACGGAAAAUGUGCAACUUUUUCGUACAGAAAAGGUUUUCUAAUUCCUUAUGGUUUAAACUCGAAUUCAAAUACGGUCAAAUUUGAUUUCGAACGCGGUUUUUUUUAAGUUUGUCGAAAUGGGGCAAAUAAUAUACCGUUGGAAAGCUAUCAAAAAUGUGAAACUUAGUCGUGUUGAAUGUUUUCUCAAAUUCGGAAUCGUUGAAGAGUAAUUUUGAAUAUGGUGAGAUCUAUCGUGCUGUUUUUCGGUCUAAAAAACAGAAUACUCGUACUGAUCUAUGUGUGUGUUUGUACUGAGAUAUUUUUCACAAAGUAGUUUUGAACACGGUGAGACUGGUUGUGCUGUAUUUUCUAUUUCGAAAACAUAGCACUCGAACUGAUCUCCGUACGGGUUUUGGGUUUGUACUGAGAGUGUGUUUUCACAGACUCGACUUUACGAUGUUUUUUCGGUACAUUUGCAUGUAACUUUUCAAUGAUUUACUGUAUCAUCGUCCCCAAACUUGCUUGGUUUAUAUCGUUGAACUGGAUGAUAUUUUUUCAUCAGUUUACUGCCCAUUUUUUCCACCACACUUGUGAGAGUCAUUAAUAGGUUUACUUACUGGGCAGUAACACAUGAACUCCUCAGGCAAUAAUACAUGAACUACUAGGUAUAUAAUUUUUCAUCGAGCACUUGAAAACAUAAAACAUUACACAAAGAGAAGAACUGAACAAUGCAUGUGAAAAUAACUCCCACAUCCAUCAUAUACUAGGAGCUUCCACUUGAAUAGGAAAAUUUGUUUAUCCCUCACAGAUUAAAACACAAAACCUGAAGAAAAGAAGUAUUGGUUUCUCAUUGACAUAAGAACAAACAGGAGUACAAAAUCAUAGCUUUUCGCCAAUGUCAGCAUGGUGCAUCGUUGCAUUUUUCUCGUUGUUGUUGUCGUCUUCCUGGACUAUUGAAAGUGUUCUUCCUGGUCAUUUAUUGUCAUGGCCAAUAACGCCUAAAAGUCCUUUUCCAGGUCUCCACUCUACCGAAAUCUCUAAACCAUUAAAAUCAAUAGAUUUACACAAAGAAUAUAGAAAUGCACGAAUGAAUCUCCUUCUCAAGAUCAGUGAUGAAGGAUGCAAUAAAUAUCAUUGACCAAAUGCCAAAGCAUAGAAUAAAUGAGAGCAGAAAUAAAACAACGCCUUAGUUUUCCCAGGUUUCUUCGUAAUCCACAUUGGUUUUUUUCCUCGUUGAAUUUUUCUUCCUCUGAAGUUAUGGUCUUUUUGAUUCUGAAUUGAUGAUAGACCAUUUUUUGCUAAACUGUCACACAUUUCUAGAGUGGUGGAGAAGGAGCUCAUGUCACUACUAAAUCAAUGGUAUUAGAAGUUCAUGGAAUAUAAGUAAAACAAACUAACUGAUUGUCAAGUGCUCCUAUGAACUAAAUUUAAAUUAGAAAUUAAACAGAACUUAAUUUUUCAAGUGCUCCUAUGGGUAGUACACACACAACCUGACAAGGCAAUGUACAACUUCAUGUAAAAAAGAACAACCAAGUUCACAUACAGUAAACAUUAUAAGUUCACAAAGAAACCUAAAAAGAGUUUUGUACUAUAUCUGCUAUAGCAACUAUAACAACCAAGUUAAUGUACGCCAUGGGGUCGGACUGGGAGGACGCAGCGGAUCCUGGAGUGGUGUACAGAGAGCUCAUGUCACUACCACAUCAAUUAUGGUACUAGAAGUUCAUGGAAUAUAAGUAAAACAAACUAAUUGAUUUUUAAGUGCUCCUAUGAACUGAACCUAAAUUAGGAAUUGAACCGAACUUAAAUGGUGGAAACUUAGGGUAAACCAGUCAGUUUAUACGAACUAGUUCUGCUUGAACUGAUGUCUGCGUUCUACUUGGACGGCUGCCAGUCACCAUGGUGGACGAGCUCGUGGCCAAGUGCGACCAAGGCGACCACCGGGAACUGUAGGUGUUUGUGCUUCUUCUCAGCAGUGACUCACACAAGGUGGACGUGAUUAGGGGAAGCACGGUUCACGGGUGGCCUUCAUCUUGCCGCCGGAUACGGGCUGCUCGCGCUCGUGGACGCCGUCGACCGGACGCGGGGCAGCACCACUCGUGGACAGAGAUCAAUAGAAGCUUUUCCAGCAAAGCAUUCUCUAAUGCAAAUCUUCCUAGCAACCUCAUCCAAUGCCACAAAUGCAUUAGCUCUGGUUUUAGUUGAAACUAAAUUUAGAUGAAAUGUGAGAAAAGCUAUUAGGAGGAUAAGAAACCAGUUCCAAACAAGAAAAUAAACAAGUACAAGCACGAGUAUAGCAAGAGGAGUUGCUGGCAUGUUUAUGUGAAUGCGUAUGUUUGUUCAGUACACCAUGUUUAUGUUGUUCAGUACACCAUGCUUAAGUUGUUCAUUACACCAUGUGAUGGAGCUACAAACUCUUUUUCUCUCUGAAACAAGCAAGAUUCACACAAACAUCCUACAUUUCUAGCAUCAGAAGUAACUUGUCAUGAACUGACAGAUUUACACAAGUAGACCAACCAAUGGAGAAAUCUACUAACCGUUUAAAAGAAUCAGUAAUUUGGUACGCGUUGGGGAUUCAUGUGUUUCGUUGUACUGAAUUUAAUAACCAAAAUGUAGAUUUAUACAAAAAAUAUCCAAAAAGAAGUGUAAUCACCUAGGUGGAAUAAAGUUGAAGCCGACAGCCAUGGACUGCUGGUCGCGAUGAACUCGACCACCCUGAUGCCAUGGGGUUGGACUGAGGACGGCACACAUACGCCCUUGACGAUGGAAGAGAGCGCGGGAGACUACAACUACCAGCACUACAAAAACACACAUCGACUCUGUAGGCAGAGACUACAACACACACACCCAUUCCUGAAUUGCAAAUUUGCAAUACAUAUUUACAUACUACAUCGAGGUGAUAUGUCUGUACUUACAAACUUUAUGUAGGUGAACUCAUGAUUUUUCUUUUUGAACUUUGUUUCUUUUUUCUCCGAACUGAUACAAACUUCCACCACGUACUUGUGCGAUUUUAUUUUCGAACAACACAAGAGAAGAGCUUUAUUUACAUCGUCGAUACAUGUCCAACCAUUUCAUUUCUGGAAAGCAAGCAAACAUCUUUGUCCUAUUUAUAUAACCCAACCCUUUUUUGUAGAAGUGAAGCACAUAAUAGAGCAAAAACUAGAAGCUGGAUCGUGAAUAGUAUUAGAAGUUUAGUGCACACAUAAGAAAAAAUAGCAAAUACGAGUAUGGGGCAGCAGCAGUACGGAUGUGUAAAAGUUCUAGAAUUUGAAUAAAAAAUGAAGUAGCUUGAUCUGGUAAGUACUACCGUAACUAGAUACAUGUAAAAGUUAAGUGACAACAAGUUCAAAAGAAAUUCAGAAAAUCAAACCGAAUUGAUGGGCUUACUUCAUGCAUUAAAUUUUACACCAUAGCGUCUUGUCUAGAUGUACAUGACGGAGCCGGCGGGCUGCACGUCGAGCCACGCUGUGCAGAGAACUGGUGUCGAAUGAUUCAGUCUCGGCAGGCUGGGAGCAUGCCAUUGCUGCAAUCAGAAAUUUUUACCAUUGAUUUCUGAACAAUAGGUACAAGAAUCACCAAAAGUUGUACUAAAGCUCUAGGAAUUUUAGCUCAAAUAACAAACGCGUUUAAGUUCGGAGAUGAAACAUAGUUGAAUGUUCUUCAGUGUGAUUUUCUGCAUAAGGACAAUCGCAGAAGCAACAUAGUUGGACUGAAGCUCUAGUGACAUAGUUGAACUUAGGAAAUUUUCUGCCGGCCGGCCCUAUGAACAACUUACCAUUGAUAAACAAUGCCCAGCCUCACCGCUAGCGUUCUUCAAGUUACAUUUAAGAGGAGCCAAAUUUUUUGUUCUGUUAGCAUUGACGAGAGCUAAAGUAAUUACAGUUAUCCUAACCAGCAUAUGCUCAAACAAGUUGAAGUUUCUUUUACUUGGGAACAACUUCAAUUCAGGUGUCUCUCACAUAAAUAAAUUUUAGUUUAGGCUUAAGAGACAGUCAGUCUCUGUUAACUGAAAACAACUCAAGUUUAACAUGGCACAUAUCCUAGAGAUACAUGCUUCUCAAGCCUGAACAAAGGCAAAAAAUUUGAUUUUUCAAUGCAUUGUAGGCAAGAACGGAUCCGAGUCAGAACUGAUACAAUUUAUUCCAUCGAACUACUAGAAAGUUUCUCUAUACUGUUACGUUUUUAACACAAAAGUAUUGAACUGUUUGCUGCCUUUCCAUUAUGAAUUGAUGGCGUAAUACAUGUUGAACUGUUACCCAAGAGCAAAAUUCAGAAAAACAUAUAUAUUGGCGCACUCCAAAUAUGUGCAUUUUCAGGAACAAAACUUUCUGAACCUUCUAUACGAAAGAACUUGAACAAUCGGUCCAAAACAUAUUUGAAGUUUUUUUUUUAGAAAAGGAGGACGACCCCCGGCCUCUGCAUCUGGACGAUGCAUACGGCCAUUUUAUUAAUUAUUGACACAAGACCUUACAGAGUCAUACAACAAUAAGCCUAAAGCCACCAAACUAAGCAACAUCUGUCGCUAUCCCUAUCCAAUUGAUGUAGGGGCGCUGAAAGUCUUGGCCUAAUACCAAACAGACCUCGCAGCCAAACCUAACAUCUAAGACUUGAGGUCCCAACCAGGACGCCUGCCGGGUAUGGGCACCCAUCAGUCUGGCGUGCUUCUCAACCAGGACGCCUGCCGGGUAUGAGGCCGCCGCAGCCACCUGCCACCAAUCCAUCUUCAGAGCUGUACUGCUGCAUCAACCUUGCCCGGUCUAACUGCCGCCGACGCCACCACGACGCCACCGCUCAUCAGGCGCCGAGUCUCCACUGCGCCACGCCGCCGAGAUCCGCCGUCAACAAUGGAGCAGAGGAAACACCACUCCUCAAGUUGAACGAUCAUUUUCCUUACUGAGUGUUAAGGAAAAUGAAACAAGAGACGAGCUCGCCGGAGAACUUGGACUGAAGAACUUGCACAUGGCGAGCUGCGGGGGGUAAGGGAGGGCGGUAGUGCGCGGUGUACUAAGGCGGCGAAUGGAAGUGGAAGUAGGGGAGAACAUCAUUAUCUUAGGACUUUAUCCUGUUUUCAACACUAGUACACAGUCCCUGUACGUGCUAUUCUCCCAUAGGCAUUAACACAAGCACCAUGUGUUUUAGGAAGAACUAGGCACUUGAAUCAGAAUAGACAUUGAAGAAACUCGCUGCAAAACAUUACUUAUUUAGGUGAUAUGCGUAAACUUACAGAAUUUUGAAACAUGAACUGAUGAUAUUUUUGCACACGCACCAACUAGUUUGUAUUUUUUCAUGAACUGACGAUAGAAUACACACCAAACUAAUAUUAAGUUUAUUAAAGAAAUUCUCUAUUCAUGAACUGACAAUAUUUAUUCUUUGUGGACUGAAGAAAAGAGAACAAAAAUACACAUGGAACUAGCGAUAGAAUACACACUAAAGAAAAAAGAAUUUCUUCUUUGUGAACUGACGAAGGUUUUUUCAUGGCAGGCAGUACAAGAAUGACUAGGAAAAAAAGAAAAACAGAGAAUUUAGUGGCCAAAAUCACUGUAAUAACUAGUGGCAGUCUCUGUGGUUUACCUCCUAUUUGCAUACCACACAGAUGGGUCUGUUGCUAGCUAUAACUGUAGAGAGAGAGAGAGAGAGAGAAGAAAUUGGCAAAAAUAUAUUGUUUCUCUCUCUGCUCAGACAUUCCACACAAACAGGCCAACUGCACAAGUUGAACUGAUCUUGUCCAUGACACGAACAGGGGCUAGUGCUGCUGCUGUACGUGCACGAGAUUCAUGAGAGAUUCAACGGGAGAAGGGUGGAGCUAGUUUUCAAGUAAGGAUAUGCACAAAGAACUUGGCAAGCAAGUCUGAGAAGCAAAAUAAGUUCUAGUUGGCUAACACAAGAAACAAGUGAAACCAUAUACUUGCUACUCUUUCCAAAGAGGUAGUAACAUUGAAUCAUUCUUGUAGAAAGAUAUCUAGAUCAGAAGUUGAGCAAGGAUAUGCUUUUUGAAGUAGUAUCUAUAGUAAUUUGCUACCUUGCUUUUAGGACACAAUACAGUAUUUGAAAACUACCUCCAAGUUACCAAAUUGAAAGGUUGUAACGACGAUACCUUAUAAUAGAUGAAUUGUAUGGUUGAAACAGAGACAACUAAAAGAAUAGGAAUACACGGCCAACCUUGCCAUUGAUGAUAGACUUGCUUGUUGCACAUUCCUCCUCCGAUUGUUGUCGGAUUUUGAGCAGCAAAUGAUCGAACUCCCCACUGAAACAUACAUAAGAAAACAUUUUCAACACCUAAUUCAGUAGAGAUGUCUCUCCAAGGAAACCAUGUUCCCCCUAAGCAACAGACGAACAAUGUAUAAUUUUGUAUAUCUAAAGAACGAAAUUCGGAUGGUGAUAACACCAGCGCUUCCCAAUUUGCACCCCUAAAAUGACUCCAUUCUCUUAGCUGAGAAGAACUCACCCUGACCAGUGGGCGGAGCGGCCACUGAUGACAGAGAAGCUCGAGCAAGAGUACAGCGGCCUCGUGGGCACCGACGAGUAGAGGAAGUGGACCUGCUACCCCUUACUCCUACGGACUGACGGCUGCGGCGAAGUGUAGCUGAUGGAGGAGGGGAUCACGAGCAGGGCCGGGAUGGUCGGCGCUGGAACUCGUGGGGAAGGGGUCAUUGGCGUGCGGGGGAUCCGGGGCUGGUGGCAUGCUUGAUAUCCGCAGCCGGUCGGCUGGUUAGCUUGCUGGGCGACGGCCGCGGUGGGAGGUGGGGACGGCGGCCGCGGCAGGAGGUGGGCAUGGCGGCCGCGGCAAGAGGUGGAGCGUGAUACCUUCAUUUUGCAUCAUGCUUUUAUAUUAAUAUUUAUUACAUUACGAGCUAUUAUUACACAUUUUGUUACAAUACUUAUGUCUAUUCUCUUUUAUUUUACAAGGUUUACACGAAGAGGGAGAAUGCCGGCAGCUGAAAUUCUGGGCUGGAAAAGAAGCAAAUAUUAGAGACCUAUUCUACACAACUCCAAAAGUCCUGAAACUUCACGGAGGCACGUUUUGGAAUUAAUAAAAAAUACUGACGAACGAAUCAACCGAAGGGGGGCCACACCCUGGCCACGAGGGUGGAGGGCGCGCCCUACCCCCCUGGGCGCGCCCCCUGCCUCAUGGGCCCACUGGCAGGCCUCCGCUGUCCAUCUUUUGCUAUAUGAAGUCUUUCGCCCUAGAAAAAAUAAGAAGGAAACUUUCGGGACGAAGCGCCACCGUCUCGAGGCGGAACCUAGCGAAACCAAUCUAGGUCUCCAGCGUAGCUGUUCUGCCGGGGAAACAUCCCUCCGGGAGGGGGAAAUCAUCAGCAUCAUCAUCACCAUCGAUCCUCUCAGCGGGUGGGGGGUCAAUAUCCAUCAACAUCUUCACCAACACCAUCUCCUCUCAAACCCUAGUUCAUCUCUUGUAUCCUAUCUUUGUCUCAAAACCUCAGAUUGGUACCUGUGGGUUGCUAGUAGUGUUGAUUACUCCUUGUAGUUGAUGCUAGUUGGUUUAUUAGGUGGAAUAUCAUAUGUUCAGAUCCUUUAUGCAUAUUAAUACUCCUCUGAUUAUGAAUAUGAAUAUGAUUUGUGAGUAGUUACGUUUGUUCCUGAGGACAUGGGAGAAGUCUUGCUACAAGUAGUCAUGUGAAUUUGG
rnacentral:lncRNA from 1 species